rnacentral:lncRNA from 10 species
UUCCAGGGAGACUUGCUCUGCCUCACACUAGGCCAGCAGCUUUGCAACAGCAGGUAGAUGAUGCUUUUAUAGGACUUGUGAGGAGCCCUCCACCUUCUUAAGGGACUCCAUUGCUUGUCUGAGUCUUGUAUGGUAUUGGAUGUAGGACAGGGUUGGGAAGCGAAAGUGGGCUUUGGAAAAACGGUGCAUCCUAGGUGUGGUUUUUGUGCAUCGUGGAUACCUGUGUUUUGGUCUUCUCAAUGACCUCUUUGCCAGGGCACUGCCCCUCCUUAAGACCAUCCAUGUGGUUACCAUCGGAACCGUCAGGUCUGUCUUGCAGGAAAAAGAAAAAAAAAAAGAAAGAACAUGGCUGAGACUUAUUGGAAGUUAGAAGGAGGGCAGAACAUACAGUGCACACCUACCUGGAUGAGGAGCUGCAAGACUUGCAGAGGGUGCCGAGAAGCAAUGGGUUUUCCUUUGCCUAGAGUGCUAUUUCCCAAAUUAAAUUCCCUAAGAUGUCAACAGAUGUUACCAAAAAAUGGUAUAUGAAAUUAAUAAAAGAGAGGUUUUUAAAAUCUG